GAGAAUAAUCCUGGAAUGUUUUCAUCAAAAACCUUAAUUUCUUUUUGACUGAAGAAAGAAGGACAUAGACAUCUUGGAUGACAUGCGGGCAACUUGGAACUGGACAUGUUAGAGAGUACAUUGGACACCUAAAAUGAUGCCCUAUUGCUUAAUAAUGGAUUAGAAUUUUUAAUUUAUGUAUUUAUUGAAAAUUUUAAUGAAUUGUAUUUAUGUAUGUAUCUAAACUUAUUUUAAUUGUAUGUAUUAUGUAUAUAUGAAAUUCAGUUAUUUUUAAUGAAAUGUAUAAUAUGUAUUGAAAUUAAAUUGUUUUAAUGAA